UUAAAUCAUAAUUGGAUGUUAUAAAAUUAAUUCAUUCAUAUAGUUGACCUAAAUAUGUCAUUAAUUGAAAAUAAAUGUAUAAAGACUUUCAAAGAAAUUUCAUUAUACAAAUCAAAAGGCACUAAUAAAUGCUGUAAGAGAAAAUAAGCAAAGUCUGUUUAUUCUUUUUAUUUUAACCUAGGAAGAGGCUUUUGUGAGAGCAUUGACAUUUAAAGGACAGCAGAGAAGAUCCUGAACAGAGACCUGAGUAUAAGCUACACAGAGAGCGGAAAAAACCUUGCGAAUUUCCUAGUAAAGCUCACCACUGGUGCAACUCAGUUAAAAGCCAGGUGGCAUGGGAGUCCUGCAGACAUAGCCCACCUCUGUCAGUGUCCUGAGUCAAGAGCAGGACUGGCAAGGUUGGAAAGUGGAUGUGGAGGAGCAAGGAAGAGAGAGCUGUAUUUAGAAGAGUUUGAAUUGUUUGCAGCAUACAUUGAUGAACAACCCAGUAAGAAUAAUUUUCUCUUUGGAGCUAAGUUUGAAAUUUAUUAAGGGAAAACAAAAAGACAAACAAACAAAAACAUGUACAAAUAUGGAACAAAGUCAAAAGAAAGAGUUCAGCGAAAGAUUAAGAUUUAGAUCUUAAUUGCAACUGUCUUGGUCCAUUGAGGCUGCUAUAAUGAAAUACGGCAGACUGAGUGGCUUAUAAAUAGCAGAAAUGUAUUGCUCACAGUUCCAGAAACUGGGAAGUCCAAGGUCAAAAUGCUGGCAGAUUUGAUGUCUGGUGAGAGCCCGAAUCCUGGUUAGUAGAUGGCUAUCUUUUCCCUGUGUCUUCACAUGGCUGAAGUGGGGAAGGAAUUCUCUGCAGUCUCUUUUUUAAGGGUUCCAAUCCCAUUCAUGAGGGCUCUGCUCUCACCUCCCAAAGACCUCACCUCCAAAUAACUUCACUUGGCAGAUAAGUCUCAAAAUACAAAUUCCGGUAAACACAAAUCUUUAGUCUAUAGAAAGAACUAAAGAACAAAUGAUUUCAAAAGAGAAAAAGUAUAAUAGACAAAUGCACAUUUCAGCGUAUCUGGGCUAGAGUGUGGGGCCCUGAGUGAAAUCUUUCACGUAAAGUUUCUUAUAUUGCUUAUAUAUUUGUAUAUACAAUGUGAAUUUGCAUCCACACAGUGUGUAUAAUCCAUACUGUGCAUCACUAUAGUGCAUAUUUACACUGCUUGUCACACAAUAUUCAAGAAACAGGAAUUCUGAACAACGCUUUACAGAGAACCAUAGUAAUUAAUCCUCUUCAUAAGGGCAUUAUUGCAAGUGUUCCAGUUAGUGGUGGUUAUAUUUAUCUUCCUGCUGUAGCUGUAGAUGUUGGCAGUUUGGUUUAAGAUAGAGACAGUCACUCUUGCCUGUAACUAAAUUCUAGAAUUCACAAAUGCCUAAGUUAAAGCCUGAGAAAGUAUUCUCAUUACGUAUUUACCACGGUUGGUACUAUGUUAAUUACAGAUGCCUUAGUUUGGGUAACCAAGAAAGAAAAUUAUUGUAAAGCAUUAGACUUUUAUAUCAUUUUUAUAAUGAGAGCCAACUUUUUGAAGCCAUAGACGUCAUAAAAUGAUUAAUCUUCAAAUUAUAUAAUGGCUAAUAUUAAAAGUCUAUUUUGGUUAUACAAUGAGCAAGUACUAACUUUAUAAAAAAUAGUAAUAAUUAUGACUAAUUUAGGGAAUGUAGAAACAAAAUGGCGUUAAAAUACUGAUGAAAGUCAGCAAAUGGUCUUGUUAUUAUUUGGAGGAAGGAAAAGAUACUGAUAAACUUUAGAUUGUGUGCAAUUACCUUUCAGGUGACAAAUUAUAGUUAUGCUUUAUUUUCUUUAACUCUAGCAUUGUGGAUCUCCAUAAGUAGAUAUUUCUAAAUGUGUUUAUUUCAUAAAUAAAACUUCAUUAGUAUAAAGAAGUAACCA
rnacentral:lncRNA from 1 species